UGAAUGUUAUCUUCACUUUUCUUCUGUAC
rnacentral:sRNA from 1 species